rnacentral:rRNA from 1 species
UGGGGAAUAUUGGACAAUGGGCGAAAGCCUGAUCCAGCAAUGCCGCGUGUGUGAAGAAGGUCUUCGGAUUGUAAAGCACUUUCGACGGGGACGAUGAUGACGGUACCCGUAGAAGAAGCCCCGGCUAACUUCGUUCCAG